AUAUAAAAGUGACAUAAUAAAAAACAUCUUGUCAUUAUAUGAAAGUCAAAAAAAUAUAUAAUAAAUAUAGAAUUUAAAAUACCUUUAAGUUGAUGUUCUAAUGUUUCUGAGUUACACAAAGUCUUUUCAAACCAUGUCAAAGUACUUCAUUUCUAUUUUAGUUAUAACGCAACGAAUUUUAUUUUAGUUAUAAAAACGUGACACUGUUCUAAAUAUGAAUAUUUUUUUAUUAAACAAUUUGCUUAUCACUUGAUUCGCGUUUAAGUUCUAAUUAUGGACACAAUUAAAAUGUAAUUUAGCGAAAAUUACGACGAUGGACUCGACUGUUAUAACCGGAAAUACAAUUUUGGCGGUUAAUAAAUGAACAUCUAGUGGCGCCACCUAUUGACAUUUAAAAUUCAAAAUUUAAUAUUUCAAAUUUGAAAGAGAUUGUAAUAUUCUAGUUGACGAUUGGAAUGUACAUAUUUUGUUUUUAAAGCUUUUUACGAAAUUUUGUUAUAAUAAGAUUUUUAAUAACAAAACUCAUCAUUUUUCAUAAUAGAGUUCAGGGCCUGAAUCAACCAAUGGUAGCGCUGUUAGCGAAAUAUGACAUUUCCGAGUAAACUAUUGGACACUUUUUACAAAAAUGAAAGCAAUAUUCAAAUGUUUUUCAUGAUAUUUCUGUUAAUCAGAUGCAUCUUUAACUGUCCUAUGAAAUAGGAUAAGACGAUUAUUCAGAGCCAUUGAGGAUUUAAAAAAAUGUUACUAAUCGCAAAAUGUUGGUUAUAGAAUCUUCAGAGCAGAGUUUUCGCGGGGAUGCCGCUGGUAUAAUUUGUCAAGCGUGGCCGAAGGAAAGAGCGACGGCUUCGAGCGAGGAAAUUUAUGGGUCGCAACGUGUCGACGGAAACCUUAAAUUUUAACGUCCCUGUCGCGUACUCGGCCGGGCCCUGCCCUGCCUGUUAAGGACCUUGUGAAGGGGGAUUACGACUUGACUGCUGCGAAGCGAGCGUGGAACACCGAGGGGUGGUCUCUCCUCUCUGUUCGCGGUGGGGGAGAAUCAGAGAAGUAUGGUGGUGGUUCUGUGGCAGGGAAGGGGGUGGCGUUGCGACGGUGCCACAGGAAAAGGUGUAGGGAAGAGGGUGGGUUAUGGGGUAUAACGCGACGAAGAACAUCCGAAUAAAAUAAUAAUAAACCGCGGAUACGUUUCAGCGCGCGUCGCUCCUUCUUCCGUCCUGAUGCUUCUCCUGUCUCUCUUUCUGCCUCGGUCUUUCCUGUUUCUGCGUCGCCUGAAAUAAAUGAGUCGGGUCUAACCGCUUGAAUCGAACGAGCAUAAUGAGUACAGAUGGAUCGUCAGAGGUGUAUGACGAUGAUGUAUUACGUCUAAAAUUGAGUCCUUAUUUUCUGUUUAAUAUUGGGAACAAAAGGAACAUUCGUU